rnacentral:lncRNA from 1 species
AAUUCACCUUUCAACUAACCACACUUACACAUUUUCAAGUCACUACUUCACUUCUCAAGUGACCACACUUUACUAAAUUCAAAACACUUCAUCUCUCAAGUGACUACAUUACUCUUAAUCAAUUUCAAGUAACAAGUUUACAUUUCAAAACAUGAGUCUUAAUCAAUUUCAAGUAACGAGUUUACAUUUAUAGUCCCUAGACUUAAACAUUUUCAAAACACAAGUUCACAUUCUCAAAUAACUACACACAAUAAUUUUCAAAACACAAGGUCACCUUUCAAAUAACUAAGUUCAAAACAUAAGUCACCAAUUCACUUCUCAAGUGACUACAUUACUCUUAAUCAAUUUCAAGUAACAAGUUUACAUUUCAAAACAUUAUUCUUAAUUAAUUUCAAGUGACUAAUUUACAUUUAAAGUCCCUAGACUUACCCAUUUUCAAAACACAAGUUCACAUCCUCAAAUAACUAUACAUAAUCAUUUUCAAAACACAAGGUCACCUUUCAAAUAACUAAGUUCAAAACAUAAGUCACCAAUUCACUUCUCAAGUGACUACACCUGAUCAUUAUCAAAUCAUUUAUUCACUUCUCGAGUGACCACACUUUACUAAAUUCGAAACACAAGAUCACCUUUUAAGUAACUACAUUCAAACAUUUUCAAGUCACUAAUUCACUUCUCAAGUGACCACACUUAACUAAAUUCAAAACAAAAGUUCACCUUUCAACUGACCACACUUGAAAAUUUUCAAAUCACCACUUCACUUCUCAAGUGACCACACUUAAAUAAAUUCAAAAACCAAAUUCACCUUUCAACUAACCACACUUAAAACAUUUUUAGGUCACUAUUUCACUUAUCAAGUGCCCACACUUAACUAAAUUCAAAACAAAAGUUCACCUUUCAACUAACCACACAUAAACAUUUUCAAAUCACUACUUCACUUCUCAAGCGACCAUAAUAAACUAAAUUCAAAACAAAAAUUCACCUUUCAACUAACCACAAUUAAAAUAUUUUCAAGUCACUAAUUCACUUCUCAAGUGACCACACAUAACUAAAUUCAAAACACAAAUUCAACUUUCAACUAACCACACUUAAACAUUUUCAAGUCACUACUUCACUUCUCAAGUGACCACACUUUACUAAAUUCAAAACACAAGUUCAUCUCUCAAGUGACUACAUUAUUCUUAAUCAAUUUCAAGUAACUAGUUUACAUUUCAAAACAUGAUUCUUAAUCAAUUUCAACUAACUAGUUUACAUUUAAAGUCCCUAGACUUAACCAUUUUCAAAAUGCAAGUUCAUAUUCUUAAAUAACUACACCUAAUAAUUUUCAAAACACAAGGUCACCUUUCAAAUAACUAAGUUCAAAACACAAAUCACCCCUCAAGUGACUACAUUAUUCUUAAUCAAUUUCAAGUAACUAGUUUACAUUUUAAAACAUUAUUCUUAAUUAAUUUCAAGUAACUAAUUUACAUUUAAAGUCCCUAGACUUUACCAUUUUCAAAAUGCAAGUUCACAUCCUUAAAUAACUACACAUAAUCAUUUUCAACACAUAAGAUCACCUUUCAAAUAACUAAGCUCAAAUUACAAGUCACCAAUUCACUUCUCAAGUGACUACACUUGAACAUUAUCAAAUCAUUAAUUCACUUCUCAAGUGAUCACAUUUAACUAAAUUUAAAACACAAAUUCACAUUUCAACUAACCACACUUAAACAUUUUCAAGUCACUACAUCACUUCUCAAGUGAUCAUACUUAACUAAAUUCAAAAAACAAAUUCACCUUUCAAUUAACCACACUUAAACAUUUUAAAGUCGUUAUUUCACUUCUCAAGUGACCACACUUUACUAAAUUCAAAACACAAGUUCACCUUAAUCAAUUUCAAGUAACU